UACAGAGGGUGCAACCGUGGUUCGGAAUUACUGGGCGUAAAGCGCGUGCAGGCGGCCUUGCAAGUCGGACGUGAAAUCCCACGGCUCAACCGUGGAAGUGCAUUCGAAACUGCGAGGCUGGAGUCCUGGAGAGGAAAGUGGAAUACUCGGUGUAGAGGUGAAAUUCGUAGAUAUCGAGUGGAACACCGGUGGCGAAGGCGGCUUUCUGGACAGGUACUGACGCUGAGACGCGAAAGCUAGGGGAGCAAACGGG
rnacentral:rRNA from 1 species